AGGGAUUUAGCUCAGCGGCAUAAGCACCUGCCUUGUAAGCAGGCGGUCAUGAGUUCAAACCCUG
rnacentral:tRNA from 1 species